GAUGAAGAACGCAGCAAAAUGCGAUAAGUAAUGUGAAUUGCAGAAUUCAGUGAAUCAUCGAAUCUUUGAACGCACAUUGCGCCCGCCAGUAUUCUGGCGGGCAUGCCUGUUCGAGCGUCAUUUCAACCCUCAAGCACAGCUUGGUGUUGGGACUCGCGUUAAUUCGCGUUCCCCAAAUUGAUUGGCGGUCACGUCGAGCUUCCAUAGCGUAGUAGUAAAACCCUCGUUACUGGUAAUCGUCGCGGCCACGCCGUUAAACCCCAACUUCUGAAUGUUGACCUCGGAUCAGGUAGGAAUACCCGCUGAACUUAAGCAUAUCAAUAAGAGGAGGA
rnacentral:misc_RNA from 1 species